rnacentral:rRNA from 1 species
AUGAACGCUGGCGGCGUGCCUAAUCCCUGCAAGUCGAGCGAACAGAUAAGGAGCUUGCUCCUUUGACGUUAGCGGCGGACGGGUGAGUAACACGUGGGUAACCUACCUAUAAGACUGGGAUAACUUCGGGAAACCGGAGCUAAUACCGGAUAACAUUUGGAACCGCAUGGUUCUAAAGUGAAAGAUGGUUUUGCUAUCACUUAUAGAUGGACCCGCGCCGUAUUAGCUAGUUGGUAAGGUAACGGCUUACCAAGGCGACGAUACGUAGCCGACCUGAGAGGGUGAUCGGCCACACUGGAACUGAGACACGGUCCAGACUCCUACGGGAGGCAGCAGUAGGGAAUCUUCCGCAAUAGGCGAAAGCCUGACGGAGCAACGCCGCGUGAGUGAUGAAGGGUUUCGGCUCGUAAAACUCUGUUAUUAGGGAAGAACAAAUGUGUAAGUAACUGUGCACGUCUUGACGGUACCUAAUCAGAAAGCCACGGCUAACUACGUG